rnacentral:misc_RNA from 1 species
CCACACACGAUCCAAGAUCGACACUUUUUGUGAACUGUAAACUUUUUAUUGAUAUUCUUAGGUGAAAGCAUACCCUUCGGGUAUGUGGAAGUCUGGGAGUAUUGAUGAAACUUUUAAACACCAAACCUUAAACAAAAAUGAUUUAUACAUUGGAACUUAAAUGUUAUAGCAAGUUCGUCUUGAUAUAACGCUAGAUUAUAAUUGUAAAA